CAAAAUCGAGUGAAAAUAUUACCGCGGCCGCGGCGGAUUACUGCUUUGUGUACAGAAAACGUACCGAAGAUCUUGCAGGAUUCAUCCUCGGAAUCGAAAUUUGCUGUGCCAACUGCUGGAGCCUCAAUCCAAUGAUGGUAAAGAGUCGCGAUCCGUAACAUUUUGCCGCCGCGUACAACCGCGUUCGGAUGACGAGUUCAGAUGGUCAACGCGGCGGAGCACAACUCUGGAAAGGGCGGGUUAGCGCAGUGGCGCAGUGGCGCCUGCCACAAUGAAAUGACGGAACUGCUGUUGGAGCACAGAAUUAACGUGAAAGUGGUCGAUUUGGCAAAGUGUACUCUGCCGAACAAGGUUUUUGCAACCCGUAAAACAACGACCAAGCACAGCGCGUGAGCGGCGCGUGGGCGACUAAUAUUUGGCAAAUCUGCUGCUGGGCAACGUCGCUCAACUGGAAGGAAACUUGUAACUGAUGAACAAGGCUGCUCAAAACAGUCUGGAUCUGGCUACCGCCGAGGUCGUCGAAGAACGUCUUGCUGCUUGAAGCGAUGGAGCCUUCGCAAACAUACACCAUGGCCAGUGUCAACACUGGAUCGCCUAACAAUAACUUGAAAUUGUCGCGCCAACGGGCACCUCCAUGAAGCUAACAGUUUCAGUUUAACAGGUCGUCCAUGUCCAUCCUCACUAGUUUAGUUCCAACAUAUGAUUGAACUGCUCGAGCACGUGCAGAUCGCGGUGGACUUCCUAGCCAAAAUUGGGAACAACGAGCGGGAGCAAGUGGACGGAUUUUGACCAAGGCACUGAAGGGGAUCGCGACACUUGUGAGAUUUGAAUCUGU